UCAGGUGCCACAGCAAGAAGGUGUCAGAGCCAGGACUAUCCUCACCCUGUCUUCUGAUUCUCCCUGUUUUAUUUAUUUCAUCACGUGUGCCUUCAAAAGGGGAUCUGGUCUUCACCUCCAACAGUAAAAUGAUAUUUUACAGCCUGAUGAUCCUCAAACUGUCCUCACACCCACACCUUUGAACCUUACGACAGAACUGCUUGCUUGAAAGGCCUGCCCACCUUCUUGGACAUCCACACCUCAACACUCUGCUAAGGAACACCUUUCCUGUCCUCAGCACUCGAGGGCAUCGAAGUGGACAUUUCUCGAGAAUGGAGAUCUCACGUGCCUGCUUCCCCUGGUGAGACCCUGUUCACAAUGAAUCCGCCACCAACACUUGGCGUGGUGGCCCUGCAUGAAAGCAAAAGGAAGAAGGAUGGUGUUGGGAAAGAUCUUUGCCAUGCUAUUCAUUACACCUCUGAGCUCUCAAAUGAGUUCAGAGCAAAGAGACCCUAAAAUUCAACACCAGCCACUGGAAGAGAUUUUUGUGGUUGUUCCACUGGAGAGGGACUUGAAAUGAACCUUCUCAAAAGGGAGGAGCUGAGACCACCAGAGACAUGACAACACAAAAGAUCACGGGACCCAUAUGACCAGGGAUGGUUCCAAAGUAACCUAGAGGACCACAUGUGGGGGCUUUCUAGAGAGAACUGAGGACAGAUAAAGCUGCAGAAGUGCUCACUCAUGAUAAAAAAACCUUUGAGAAGAAAUUGUGUCUCAUACUGGCCUGGGCAGUGAGGACUCAGAUGCUGGCUUUCCAUGCCCUGGCCCCUCCAUUUCUGAAAACACAGACGUGCUUCACCCAUUCACACAGAGGGAUUGAAAAAUGAGAAAAGGACUGUGGAAAGGGUUAUCCAGAGCACAGGCAAGGCUGGUGGAGCCUGUGGCUAGGUAUUCGCAUUUGUACUGGGUUGAAUGAGCUGGCACGUGUGUCUGGUGAGUCAGAGAGAGGCUAUAACCCCACCUCAUCAUCCAGGAAAUGGCAAACAGACGAAUAAGGUGGGAAAGGGGCCAGGAGACUUGUCUUUAGAUGUAACUGAAAGGAAAUGAAGCAAGGAUGAGAGAAAUCCCUUCCACAAAAAUCUAAACAAGUGUCCAAUCAGUUGUCUUGCAAAGUAGGAAGGACUAACAAAGAAAAAGCCCAAGAAAUUACCAAGGCCAUGGGGAAGAUCAUGGAAAAACUUACCCAGGUAAGCUCCCACUGCCUCUCCAACUUUGUCAUUUAUCACCUUGUGUUGGCCUCAUGGAGUGAGAGCUAGGCAGGGGCUAGGCUUAUACCCAGGGAUCCUAACAUAGUUCCAGGAGGGUACACAAUAAUGAAUUCCCAUCUGCCUUUCCUGCAAAGUCCUCCUCAAGGGCCACUCUCUCCAUCCCCAGUU